rfam:Ictidomys tridecemlineatus contig106241, whole genome shotgun sequence.
GGGGUCGUAGCUCAGUGGUAGAGCACUCGCCUAGCUUGUGUGAGGCCCUGAGUUCGAUCCUCAGCACCCCUU